UCUUGGCUCAGGACGAACGCUGGCGGCGUGCUUAACACAUGCAAGUCGAACGGUGACGGAGGAGCUUGCUCUUCUUGAUCAGUGGCGAACGGGUGAGUAACACGUGAGUAACCUGCCCUUGACUCUGGGAUAAGCGUUGGAAACGACGUCUAAUACCGGAUACGAGAUGCGACCGCAUGGUCUGUGUCUGGAAAGUUUUUCGGUCAAGGAUGGACUCGCGGCCUAUCAGCUUGUUGGUGAGGUAAUGGCUCACCAAGGCGUCGACGGGUAGCCGGCCUGAGAGGGCGACCGGCCACACUGGGACUGAGACACGGCCCAGACUCCUACGGGAGGCAGCAGUGGGGAAUAUUGCACAAUGGGCGAAAGCCUGAUGCAGCGACGCCGCGUGAGGGAUGAAGGCCUUCGGGUUGUAAACCUCUUUCAGUAGGGAAGAAGCGAAAGUGACUGUACCUGCAGAAGAAGCACCGGCUAACUACGUGCCAGCAGCCGCGGUAAUACGUAGGGUGCAAGCGUUGUCCGGAAUUAUUGGGCGUAAAGAGCUCGUAGGCGGUUUGUCGCGUCUGGUGUGAAAACUCAAGGCUCAACCUUGAGCUUGCAUCGGGUACGGGCAGACUAGAGUGUGGUAGGGGUGACUGGAAUUCCUGGUGUAGCGGUGAAAUGCGCAGAUAUCAGGAGGAACACCGAUGGCGAAGGCAGGUCUCUGGGCUGUAACUGACGCUGAGGAGCGAAAGCAUGGGGAGCGAACAGGAUUAGAUACCCUGGUAGUCC
rnacentral:rRNA from 1 species